rnacentral:rRNA from 1 species
AUUGAACGCUGGCGGCAGGCCUAACACAUGCAAGUCGAACGGUAACAGGAAGAAGCUUGCUUCUUUGCUGACGAGUGGCGGACGGGUGAGUAAUGUCUGGGAAACUGCCUGAUGGAGGGGGAUAACAACUGGAAACGGUAGCUAAUACCGCAUAACGUCGCAAGACCAAAGAGGGGGACCUUCGGGCCUCUUGCCAUCGGAUGUGCCCAGAUGGGAUUAGCUAGUAGGUGGGGUAACGGCUCUCCUAGGCGACGAUCCCUAGCUGGUCUGAGAGGAUGACCAGCCACACUGGAACUGAGACACGGUCCAGACUCCUACGGGAGGCAGCAGUGGGGAAUAUUGCACAAUGGGCGCAAGCCUGAUGCAGCCAUGCCGCGUGUAUGAAGAAGGCCUUCGGGUUGUAAAGUACUUUCAGCGGGGAGGAAGGGAGUAAAGUUAAUACCUUUGCUCAUUGACGUUACCCGCAGAAGAAGCACCGGCUAACUCCGUG